rnacentral:snRNA from 1 species
GUGCUUGCUUUGGUAGCACAUAUACUAAAAUUGGAACGAUACAGAGAAGAUUAGCACGGCCCCUGCACAAGGAUGACACACAAAUUCGUGAAGCUUCCAUAUUUAAA